AGCUUAUUUGCUGCUAGCAGAGGCUUCCAAGGGCCCUGGAAGAUGAUGAAGAGGGACCAUGACUUACAAAACGACUCUUUGUCAUGUGGGGUGUUCUCACUAAUGUUUGCAGAAAUGAUCCUCCAGGGACAACAAGGGCACCUCCAAUGCCUCCCUAUCGCUCAAGAGCGGGAGAGACUUGGGACUUUGUUGUUCAACUCCCUUGAUACGAAGACUCUAAGAAGAAAAAAGGCAAGGGUUAAUGAUCA